rnacentral:rRNA from 2 species
GAGUUUGAUCAUGGCUCAGAAUGAACGCUGGCGGCAGGCCUAACACAUGCAAGUCGAACGGAGUUAUAUUGUAGCUUGCUAUGGUAUAACUUAGUGGCAGACGGGUGAGUAAUGUAUAGGAAUCUACCUAGUAGUACGGAAUAAUUGUUGGAAACGGCAACUAAUACCGUAUACGCCCUACGGGGGAAAAAUUUAUUGCUAUUAGAUGAGCCUAUAUUAGAUUAGUUAGUUGGUGAGGUAAAGGCUUACCAAGACAAUGAUCUAUAGCUGAUCUGAGAGGAUGAUCAGCCACACUGGAACUGAGAUACGGUCCAGACUCCUACGGGAGGCAGCAGUGGGGAAUAUUGGACAAUGGGCGAAAGCCUGAUCCAGCCAUGCCGCAUGAGUGAAGAAGGCCUUCGGGUUGUAAAGCUCUUUUAGUGAGGAAGGUAAUGACGGUACUCACAGAAGAAGUCCUGGCUAACUCCGUGCCAGCAGCCGCGGUAAUACGGAGAGGGCUAGCGUUAUUCGGAAUCAUUGGGCGUAAAGGGCGCGUAGGCGGGUUAGUAAGUUAAAAGUGAAAUCCCAAGGCUCAACCUUGGAACUGCUUUUAAAACUGCUAGUCUAGAGAUUGAAAGAGGAUAGAGGAAUUCCUAGUGUAGAGAUGAAAUUCGUAAAUAUUAGGAGGAACACCAGUGGCGAAAGCGUCUAUCUGGUUCAAAUCUGACGCUGAGGCGCGAAGGCGUGGGGA